rnacentral:rRNA from 1 species
ACAACGGAUCUCUUGGUUCUGGCAUCGAUGAAGAACGCAGCGAAAUGCGAUAAGUAAUGUGAAUUGCAGAAUUCAGUGAAUCAUCGAAUCUUUGAACGCACAUUGCGCCCGUCAGUAUUCUGGCGGGCAUGCCUGUUCGAGCGUCAUUACGCCCCUCAA